ensembl:lncRNA
GCAGGUGUAAAGUCCCAUGCUCACGUGGUGCUGGCCAGCAAACCCAGAUCUCCCUGCAUGCUAGAGAAACACUUCACCACAUCAUCUACAGACGCAGCCAAAUUUCCUUUCAAGGACAUGCCCAUCCUCUGAGAGUCCAACCCUAUGUUGAUUUUCCUCGUGACAGCGGGAUAUUUCAGCUCGGUGAUUACUCAGGUCACCCAGAGAGCUUAUUUGAUCCAAAGCUGCUGUAUCAGUCACCAGGCCUGAGUCAGAGCUUGGACAGGGCACAGCUGUAGCUCCCUGAACGGCAAAUACCUUGCCAUAGCGGUUGCUGGGGAAAUAUGUCGGAAACCUGUCUUCAGAGCUUGCUGGGAAUCUGCUGGACUUGUGGUUCCUGAAACUCCGGGCCAACAGCAAGUUCCACUGCCUUAACUUCUGAACACCGGUAAAAUACUUCCACAACUCCUGGGACGUUGUUUGGAAUUCAGAAUGACUCAUUUACACACUGACUCUCUACAAGAAAUGCAUUCAAGAACAUAUGAUGUCGCUCACGGAUCAGAGCCAUCUGACGGCAGGAUUUGGAGGACACCUCUGAAAGGGCCCCAGGUACUGCGUCUCCAAAGAAGAGAGUAGAGACAUAGUUUCAGCAGAAACAGAAGGUUGAUACACUUUCAAGGCAGAGGAAGUGGACCAGAACCAAUGGAGACCUAGAGUCAUUCAGCCCUGCCGUGGGGAGAAUGAAUGGGGUCUUUCAUGUCUAAGGCACGGGCUUCGGGGCUCAUGCUCAUAGCACAAGAUGUUCCUUGCGUGCUUUCUACUGUCACGUGUAAUUCUAGAUACAGUUUCCAUGUGGUUACAUCUCAUUUGCACGGUGAGUCGUCACCCAGGGCAGUGAAGAGGUCUGGCGGUAUAAGGUAUAAUGAGCCAAAGACGCCUUUCAGACACUGGAACCCUCUGCACCUGCAGCACUGGCUGGCGCUGGCUGGCCGUGCAGGGGGCUUAGCCUUUCUCUUGACCAAGUGUUUUAUAUGCGAAUUUGUUAUAAGGCUUUCUAUAUGUCUCUACCCCUAGUCUCCCUCCUACACUCUAGCACAUUCGUGAUUCCUGAAAUGAAAGGGUCACUCUUCUCAUGAAUGUGCAUGACGGUCUGUUGGGUUUGAGGCAAGAACUGAGGUUUCUGAGGACAGCAUGGAGGUGACUCAGCCUGGUCCUGAGACCUUUUCUCUGUGAAACAGCAGGUAGUGGGUAGUCCCGAUCAGUCUGUAAUAGGAUAAGCUGUCACUGUCAGUACAAUAAAAAAAGACAGACAGAUGGACAGACAGACUGGCAGACUGAGGGACAGACAGGUUCGGGAACCCAUUUAGAGUAUCCCAAAUUCUAUGUUCCAGUGAGGGAGAUUCCAUGAAGUUUUUAUGGAAACAGAACACACACCACAGAUGAGGACACUUUUCACACGUGCUGGUAGAAACGUUUGGAGAUGGUUAGAGUGAAGCGGGGAAUGGCAGAUGUAGGCCUCACAUGCUGUCUAAUGACGCCCUUCACUUUGGAUUUGGUGGAAGCUAGGGUCUACUAAGCUAAACAGGUUUCAGAAACCUGUGCCUAGAGGUGCACACCUUUAAACCCAGCACUUAGGGUGCAGAGGCAGGAGGAUCUCUGUGAAUUCCAGGCCAGCUUCACCUAUAUACAGAAUUCUAGGGCAGCCAGAGCUACAAGGGGAGACCCUGCCUUAAAAAGAGGGGUGGAGGAAGGGAAAGACAGACCGCAGACAGACAGACGACAGAUGGAGAAGGGAUUUACCUGAGUCACAGGGAUGUUAGAUCAGAUAGACACAGAGGUGGGAGAGGAAUCGCUAAUAAGGCUAAACCCAGUCCAAGGUAAACUGUAAUGUGCCUCUGACCCUGCAACCUUUCAACCUCUCCACAGUCACUGAAAUUCCAAGCCUUUAACCAGCCUUGUAGGUUGAGCGGGAGGCAUGGCUUUCCUCCGGGAACUUCCAUUCACUUCCCUGAACGGGUUGAAGGAGAGGAGAGGAUCACAGUUGAG